rnacentral:rRNA from 1 species
UAGGGAAUCUUCGGCAAUUGACGAAAGUCUGACCGAGCAACGCCGCGUGAUUGAAGAAGGUUUUCGGAUCGUAAAACUCUGUUGUUAGAGAAGAACAAGGACGUUAGUAACUGAACGUCCCCUGACGGUAUCUAACCAGAAAGCCACGGCUAACUACGUGCCAGCAGCCGCGGUAAUACGUAGGUGGCAAGCGUUGUCCGGAUUUAUUGGUCGUAAAGCGAGCGCAGGCGGUUUCUUAAGUCUGAUGUGAAAGCCCCCGGCUCAACCGGGGAGGGUCAUUGGAAACUGGGAGACUUGAGUGCAGAAGAGGAGAGUGGAAUUCCAUGUGUAGCGGUGAAAUGCGUAGAUAUAUGGAGGAACACCAGUGGCGAAGGCGGCUCUAUGGUCUGUAACUGACGCUGAGGCUCGAAAGCGUGGGGAGCAAACAGG